AAGGUAGCAUAAUCAUUUGUCUUUUAAUUGGAGACCGGUAUGAAGGAGGCGACGAAAUUUGAGCUAUUUAUUUAUAAUUUAAAAUUAACAUAAAGGUUAAAAGGCUUUUAUAAAUCAAAGGGACGAUAAGACCCUAUAAAACUUUACUAUAAGCUAAGUUAUUUAGAUUAAAUUUUGGACUAUAGUUUAGCUGGGGCGGUUAAUAUAAAAACAAUUGUAGUGUAAAUAUGUUAAAUAGAAUUUGAGAACUCUGGUAAGAAAUAAAUAAGUUACUUUAGGGAUAACAGCAUAAUUUCCCCAGAGAGUCCUAAUUGGCGGGGGGGCUUAUGACCUCGAUGUUGAAUUGGGGUGUCUAAUAUAAGUAGAAAUAUAUUAAGAUAGUCUGUUCGACUAUUAAACCCCC
rnacentral:rRNA from 1 species